UGGCCAAGAGAUGUGAUUUGAAGAUCAGCUAGCUGUGUGUCCCUUCUGUGGUGCUUGUUGAAAUUAUAGAAACAAGAUGAAUGAAAUGCAGGCGAGGGGAACAGGUUGAUCAAUGAAGCAACUUACCACCAGGUGAGAAGACGUGGAGGUUUCCUCAAGCAAAGAGUGGCUGCGCAACAGGAGCAUACUGAUUUACUGAAUGUGGAUGGUGCUUUCUUUCUUCCAGGUGAAAUGUGCUGAAAGUGGAUAUUGAUGGUGUUUUUUUCUUCUUCCAGGAAAUGCGACAAAACAUGGCGGCUAUAGCUUUGCUCUAUUAUACUAUUCUGUAGGCCCUGCUGGGUGAUGAUGCCUUGAAGCUUCAGUGACAAGUAUGGCCUGACGGUGGCACGAGUUCUGUUAAGGGAAGCUCCUAUUUUUCUCUUUUUUGAAUUUUGCAAGUUAAGUAAUCCUUUUAGUAUUGUACUAUUGAUGUGAAUAAACAAGCAUAUGGUAGUUUAAUCAUUUUUUGCAUCUUGUUGGAUCUUCACUUGGGUGUGAACAGUUUGUAUGAAUUCUGAACUCUGAAUUUGAAUCAGAGCUGAGCAUUAACUCUGAAUCUUUCAGACUCCAUGUGCGAACUCUGAAUCAUAUUAUAACCUAUUCAAGCGUGAAGCUAUAGUAAGCACUUAGAAAUCUUUCAGGAGCCUAGGUUUAACUCGAACCAGAGCAGAAAGUUAACAGCAAUCUUACAACAAAGUUUGUAAAAUGUGCGCCCCCGCACAGAACAACAUAUUCUAUAUUUGGUUGCCAGAAGCUAAAAGGGUAAACUUCUAUGUAUGAUCCCUUCAACCUUUUCCAUCAUUACAGCAGCAUCUGUAUGACAAAGAGUUCUUAUGUUUUCAGAAUAUUGGGACUGGGCUUUCCUAAUUAUGAUGAGAAAUCACUUUCUUAUCCUAAAUACAUCAGUGAUUAGAGGAUUUUGAUUCUCCUUCCGUUUUCAUAAAUGUCCAAUUUAGUCUAUUAAAAUAGUUAUAUUUUCAUAAAAGUUCACCAAAAGCGAAAUGUCAUUUUUAUUAGUUUCACUGUCAGCGGAUAGAACUGUUUUACCUUCAAGUGUAAAGCGUACGUUUAGUAUCUAAAAAAUGUAUUGAAGGCAUGUGAUGAAAUCCAAGUGCAAAGGCUAGCUGAUUUGGAUCAUUCUUAUUUUGUGGAAUCUAUUUGUCCAACAUUUAUGCAUAUUUAUUUACAGUAGAUAAAUAAACUUCACUACUGAACUUACUGCAUGAAGGAAAUGUGCUGACAGUUACAGCUCCUGAAUUAAUCCUGAAAAACUCACGCAAGAGGCCAUGAUGAGCAAUCGACGCGACGGGGACCAGGAGAAGGAGAAGAGCAGCAACCAACUCGGUAUGGUGCCACGUACGGGGAUUCAGUUCAACUCAAUAAUCGGAGAGAAGAGCAGCACAAGAUAGCCCAAACUACAGCCACAUCAAGCGCUCCUAGGUAGGUCCUGAGAUGCAGCAGGGAAUGUACCUAGCUACAGAUCGUCGAAACAACACGGCCAAUAAGUGUGGGAGAUUGCUUAAAAGGCAGGGAGGAGUAGGAGGUUGCUUGUUCCAGGAGGAGACGAAGCAUGGCACCGGCUGGGGCUUUUAUCUAGUGUUUGCCAACUGAACAUCUGUUCACAUUGCUCCCUCUCCGAUCUCCUCUAGAUCAUGCCUCGGUCCGUCCGCUUGCUUUUCUGAGAAGACAUGCCCUUGGAACACCGUCGGCUGGGCUCUUGACGCGGCGAAGUUAUAUCGGUCAGUCUGUACCCCAGAAAAUUCCCUCAAAAGAAAAGGUCUGUACCCCAUAAAACUAAUCUUGGCUGCUUCAAAAUAUGUAGAAACAUGUUUGUUUGAGCAUACUGUAUGUAAUCCAGAUCCAGUUGUGACCAAAUAUUAACCAGCAUACCACUAUGAGCUGCAAUAUUAAGAAUUAUUCGCUGCCCAAGCCCCAAGGUACCCGACCACACAACACAACAUCAUACUACGAACGCAAGAGAGACAAACAUUUGUUUCCCCAGAGUUCGAGGAGGAGAGAAAAUAAAUAGAGAAGGAAGAACAGACUAAACCAAGCCAAAGGAUCACCGCUUCUUUGCCACAUGCAGUAUAACAGAGAGGAACAAAGGGAAAAUGUUGGCUGGAGUUAUCAUCACAACAUAAUCAUCUCAAAUUUAGUCCACUUCAUCACUAAAAAGAUGAUCUACAUGGUGAAGACACGGAGCUUGGUUACCCUGUAUGAUUUCUCUGUUCUGCUUGGUCUUUUCAUGUCAUACUAUGGUGGAUAUAUUAGACAUAUCUUGUCCAGUGACAUGUUAUUCUUUCAACUACGUCGAAUCAAUGCCCUCUUUAUACUUGAUUGAUGAAGUGACUUACCAGGAGGCGAGAAGACCGGGGAGCUUUUCCUUGAGUGAAGUGUCAGGGAAAUAAACAACAUCUUUUUUUUUUUGCAGGUGAAACAAGAACAUAUCGACUGGUUUACCGAAUGUUGUAGGAGAAGAUGUGCUGAGACGGGAUGUAGAAGAUUCAUGGUGCUUUCUUCUUGUUCCAGGAGAUCGCGAAGCAUGGCAGAUGGGGCUUUGCUAUGCCCGCUGCCCUGAAGCAGCUUAAGCGACAAGUAUGACCUGAUGUGACUGAAGCAGAGUUCUAUUAAGACAAGAAGCUCCUUCUUGUAUAUUGUGCCGCAUUGCCCGAUUCCAGAGUCAGCUCAGCUGAGUGAGGCGGCCUGAACAAACAACAAGUUGAGCGAACAAUCAAUUCGACGUGGUAUGAUUUUUCUACUCUGAUCCCGAAUAUAAACCAGAGCCGAAAGGUUAGCUCUUAGACUCUGAAAUUUUCGGGCUUGAUGGUUGAGGUCUGAAAUUUAUUACACCAAGGCAAUUGUGAUUGCUGCUAUCUACUAUCGGAAAAAUUCCAAAACAGACCUUGAAGUUGUCGAGGAAAGCUAAACCAAACCCUGAACUUUGAAUCCUGGAAAUUGGCACUAUAAACUUGUAA